rnacentral:lncRNA from 1 species
UAGACUAAAUAUUUAGCUACUCAUAGCAAAGCAAAACAAAACUAUAGAAGUAUUCAUAAUGUGCAAUUGAAAUAAUAAAGAGAAUGGUUGAUUGAUCUUCUUACACUUGUUCUUGCCUCCGAAUCAAUCUAAAAACAAGCUUAUACCUUGCUUGGGAGAAUUUGUUGAGCCUAUGAAGGGUUGUGAUAAGUUUUUCUCGAUUAACACUUUAGUCCGACGAUUCCUGGGCAAUUACACAGUCCACCGGGGCCAUGGCAAAAUGCAGCUUGACUGCGGUGAGAGAAAAACAUUCUGCCUCGUUCCGAUAGCCUACUGCGUCAAGCCGUGGUCGACCGCGGUCAUGGUACAUUCAAGCUCAAUCCUCUUUGCCUAUUUCUUGUUUAUUUUCACUCGUGUUCUUCUUGAUUGGCUUUUUAUUCACCUUCUUGACUCCAAAACACUCCAUAGGCUCUUCCUAACUUGGAUUAGUCCCUGCGAAGUAAAAGAACACCAAUUAGAGUAUUUUGUUAUCAUUUAGUCUUUAAAACACAAUAAAUCAUGGUACAUUUAGAGUGUAAAUAUCGUCUAUAUAACCUAGUAUCAACACUCCACACUUAAAUCAUUGCUAGUCCUUAAGUAAUCCACCACACUCUACAAAGGGUCCUUGAGUAAGCUUUUCCCCCAACGUAUCACACCAAGAACAACUCACCAAAGUUGCACCUAGUAGUGAACAGUCUUUACCUCAAAAGUCGACUAUCAUGUGCCGUGCAAUAUUCGCACUUACUAAAACUACUCUAUACAGAAGUCAAGACUUAGCUUUCCUUCGUGAAUCACAUACCCUCACAUCACACAAAAGAGUAGUUUCACAAAUAAUAUUAUUAAGAACAAUUAGGAACUCAGAUAGACAAUUCGCUCACUCUCACAAAGGACAUUCACAUGCCACAAUGAUGCACAUAGGCUUGCCGUAGUGUACUACUCUACUUAUCGAGCUUAUUUAGUCUAAGAUCAAUUAGGACUUCACUUGGUUGUAUGUGGGCUAACAGACGGGUAGGAUAUAUUUGGAUAUAGUGAAUAACCUCCCUAAGCACUUUUCAUAUAAUCAUACUAACCUUCAAAACCAUACUUAUGUCAACCACACAUUUUACCUCAUUUUAUUUAUAACAUCCUACUCCAUUAGGUACAAUUUUAUCGAGUCACCACUUAUCAACUACUACAUUUACUCAUUCUCUUUUUCUCUUUUUUUAAGUGGUGCUUAUUUUCUUACUUUUCCAAAAACUGCACAUUUCCUCCAUUUCAUUGGUUCCACUCAAAAACCAAACCACCACCCCCACACUUUAGCAUUUGCAUAUUUUAAGACCAUUCAAGUGCUCAUGGGAGGUAAAAGGGGUUCAAACAGAUCUGCCAUUCAAACAAUUGGGUAAGGUUCGCAAUGUGGUUGCCAAAGAAACAGGCUUACAGGCUCAAUGAGGUUGACUACGGUGUAUUACAUUUAGGUGGGUCUACUUUAUAUACCUGGCUUAACAAAGAAAUAUCUAUAUCACUUCUAAGACACGAUGAGGCUUCUAUUUCGCUUUGCAAACACAUGUGGCAAGUUCUAGGCAUCAAAUGUAAAGCAUAAAAUACAGUACAACUCACACCCAUAUGGCACAUGACUCACUCCAGAUUGGCUUAUCAAGACAUUCUCUUUUAAGUAUUCAAGUCAGUUACAAACAUACAAUUUAAGACAUUUUAGCAAGAGUCAACCACUAAGACUAAGCGGUACACUCUAGUGUCUACUAUGUUCAGGUGUAUCACGCCAAUGGUUUCUCUUUCUAUUUUAGCUCGUAGCCCAUCAAUACUAACUAAAAACUAAAAACAAAUGAACAAAAAAUUACCUACGCCCCGUUCAAGCUAAACCCUUCGAAAAGAACAAUGGCCUAAAGAAAAACCAAGGGGGAGUUACUACACUACCUAAUAAAAUAUUUUUGGUAUUUUCUUUAGACUUACUUCCCUCGAAAAACUAUCUAAAAGAUCUGUCAUCAGGAAAAGUCCCCAUAUUCCUGUUUUUUUGCAUUCGACUUUUAUCCCUCAAGAAACUAGUCGAGAGGUGUCCGUCUUCGGUCCAAUUUGAAGUUAACUAACACGACUAAACAAUACCAAACAAGCAAAAGGAAAACAACACCAUACAACGUUACAAAUUUUACAACAACAGCCACAACGUCAUACAAUUUUUACAACAACAGCCAUCCCCAAC